rnacentral:rRNA from 1 species
GCUCUCUGAUUCAGCGGCGGACGGGUGAGUAAUGCCUAGGAAUCUGCCUGGUAGUGGGGGACAACGUCUCGAAAGGGACGCUAAUACCGCAUACGUCCUACGGGAGAAAGCAGGGGACCUUCGGGCCUUGCGCUAUCAGAUGAGCCUAGGUCGGAUUAGCUAGUUGGUGAGGUAAUGGCUCACCAAGGCGACGAUCCGUAACUGGUCUGAGAGGAUGAUCAGUCACACUGGAACUGAGACACGGUCCAGACUCCUACGGGAGGCAGCAGUGGGGAAUAUUGGACAAUGGGCGAAAGCCUGAUCCAGCCAUGCCGCGUGUGUGAAGAAGGUCUUCGGAUUGUAAAGCACUUUAAGUUGGGAGGAAGGGCUGUAACUUAAUACUUUGCUGUUUUGACGUUACCGACAGAAUAAGCACCGGCUAACUCUGUGCCAGCAGCCGCGGUAAUACAGAGGGUGCAAGCGUUAAUCGGAAUUACUGGGCGUAAAGCGCGCGUAGGUGGUUUGUUAAGUUGGAUGUGAAAGCCCCGGGCUCAACCUGGGAACUGCAUUCAAAACUGACAAGCUAGAGUAUGGUAGAGGGUGGUGGAAUUUCCUGUGUAGCGGUGAAAUGCGUAGAUAUAGGAAGGAACACCAGUGGCGAAGGCGACCACC